AUAUCAAUAAGCGGAGGAAAAGAAACUAACAAGGAUUCCCCUAGUAACGGCGAGUGAAGCGGGAAGAGCUCAAAUUUGAAAGCUGGCGUCUUCGGCGUCCGCGUUGUAAUCUCGAGAGGUGUUUUCCGCGUCGGACCAAGCACAAGUCCCUUGGAAUAGGGCGUCAUAGAGGGUGAGAAUCCCGUACUUGGCUUGGAUGCCCGAUGCUUUGCGAUACACCCUCAACGAGUCGAGUUGUUUGGGAAUGCAGCUCAAAACGGGUGGUAAAUUCCAUCUAAGGCUAAAUAUCGGGGAGAGACCGAUAGCGCACAAGUA
rnacentral:rRNA from 1 species